rnacentral:lncRNA from 1 species
GCUAUAGGUAUUCUUUGUAUUUUACUGUGACUCCCUCAGGGCCCUUGAUUCUCGGAGCAUCUGGUUUCCUUAAAUUAAAUGAUUGCACUUUUACACUCGUAUGUUCACACAGAAAAACAAGCUUCUUCUUCUUCUUUUUUUUUUUUAAGAGACAGGCAUCACUGACUUCUCUAAGGCAUAAGGGAUUAGAACACUUUCUUGCGCCUAAAGAGGCCAAAAAGACCAGCAAGUGGAAAUUAUAGGAAGGCAGAUUAUACAUCUAUACAAGGAAGAAUUUUCUAAUUAUUUGCGUUUCUGAAAUUGAAAUGACUGCUUCCGAGGGACGGAACCACUGAAGAUGUUGAAGCUGAGGCUUGAGGACCACUUGAAACCACGAGAACUUACACCAAACAUCCUCCCAAACUGCGCUUCUAUGAUUAGGCUGGGCUGCACAGCGAACACACCUGUUCGUGUCAUAUCUUUAUCCAUUUCUGGCCUGUAUCUGUUUUUUUAAGUCAAAACUCUCCUCAACCAAAAGCGUGAAGGGCACUGAGGACGAAUUUAUGAGAAACUAUGGUCUAAGAGAAUUCAGAUAAAGUGAAACUUGAGAAGUAGCAGACAGAGUGAGGCUGUCGUUAAGAAGGCAGACUCAAAAAGAGAUUAGCACGAUGAGCCAGGAGGAGCAAAGCAGUGGAGGGCGAUGACUAAAAUAUUUAAAAUACUGAAUGGUGUGGAUAAAACACGUUUAUUUACCAAAUCCUGAGAUCACAGGCUGAGGAAACCUCUUUGGAAAUAUGAGCAAAGUGAGUUUAGUCCACAAGAGGUAAUUUUUCAGAAAGAGAAACAUGGUAUUAACUAUCCCUGUGAUGUAAUACGAGACAAAAAUAUAAAAUGAUUUUAAAAAUAUUUUGACAAAGUUACAAACAAAGGGACCACACGUGGCUACUAAGAGGAGCUGGGUUGCCUCGAAGUACAAGUCAAACGACAAGCAUGCACUCUCCGUCUGUCACCUGGGACCCCUGUCGGCGCAGGAUACUGGCAGGCUAAGGGUCUGCCCCAGGAUGAAAAAGUUCUGUAUUCCGAAAAUCAACCACUUUCCACAGGAUUAUUCUCAGGUUUCAUCACAAUUAGGAAGGAUGUGCAAAGAAGAGAAACAGAAAAACCUUUCAUCGUCACGGGAAAAAAGCCCGAAAGUCUUCUAUAUACGCAGUUCCUGAUAAGAAGGAAUUUGGGGCUGGACAGUAACCGCCGAACACAAGUUAAUUCUGACAUUCAGGGUCUCCUCCUCGCUGAAGGAAAUUCGAAGAGCAGGCCUCAGGGUGAAGACAGAAGAAACGUGCUUCAUCUAAGGUUUUCUCCCCGGAAAGGAAACCGGCGCGGCAAGAUGUAGACAGCACUGUCCUACUUCUCAGGAAAAGAAUACGCACAGGGAAGGCUGGACACGACCCUUCCCGUCAGGAGAGGGUCUGCAGCGGGACACCGGCGAGCCGCGCCACAGCGCUCACCAUUGUGUUAGCGCCGGCGGC